rnacentral:rRNA from 1 species
AAGCAAGUCCCAGAAAUAACGUCCCAGUUCGGAUUGUAGUCUGCAACCCGACUACAUGAAGCUGGAAUCGCUAGUAAUCGCGGAUCAGAAUGCCGCGGUGAAUACGUUCCCGGGUCUUGUACACACCGCCCGUCACACCAUGGGAGUCGGAAAUGCCCGAAGUCAGUGACCUAACCGAAAGGAAGGAGCUGCCGAAGGUGGAGCCGGUAACUGGGGUGAAGUCGUAACAAGGUAGC